rnacentral:rRNA from 1 species
UACGGAGGGGGCUAGCGUUGUUCGGAAUUACUGGGCGUAAAGCGCGCGUAGGCGGAUCUGCAAGUCGGGGGUGAAAUCCCGAGGCUCAACCUCGGAACUGCCUUCGAUACUGCGGGUCUCGAGUCCGGGAGAGGUGAGUGGAAUUCCGAGUGUAGAGGUGAAAUUCGUAGAUAUUCGGAAGAACACCAGUGGCGAAGGCGGCUCACUGGACCGGCAUUGACGCUGAGGUGCGAAAGCGUGGGGAGCAAACAGG